rnacentral:rRNA from 1 species
AUUGAACGCUGGCGGCAUGCUUUACACAUGCAAGUCGAACGGUAACAGACCGCAAGGUGCUGACGGGUGGCGAACGGGUGAGUAACGCAUCGGAACGUGCCCAGUCGUGGGGGAUAACGCAGCGAAAGCUGUGCUAAUACCGCAUACGAUCUAUGGAUGAAAGCGGGGGACCGUAAGGCCUCGUGCGAUUGGAGCGGCCGAUGUCAGAUUAGGUAGUUGGUGGGGUAAAGGCCCACCAAGCCAACGAUCUGUAGCUGGUCUGAGAGGACGACCAGCCACACUGGGACUGAGACACGGCCCAGACUCCUACGGGAGGCAGCAGUGGGGAAUUUUGGACAAUGGGCGCAAGCCUGAUCCAGCAAUGCCGCGUGCAGGAAGAAGGCCUUCGGGUUGUAAACUGCUUUUGUACGGAACGAAACGGUCUGGGUUAAUACCCUGGGCUAAUGACGGUACCGUAAGAAUAAGCACCGGCUAACUACGUGCCAGCAGCCGCAGUAACAC